AUGGCUACACUGGUGGCUACUAAAGCAGCCAGUGCCCAAGUACAUCAAUUGCUAUCUGUGCCUCUUGCUGUCACCACUCUCCAUCAAGAAGUUCCUGGACUUUGGGAGAGAUAAUGGCUACAGAGAACAUCAUAUAUGAUUUCACAAAAGGAGAUUCCCGUGCUACUGGCUAACACAGUGAAUGAAGCCAAUUUUCUGCUGGGUAAGUGGUUUAACAGGCCUUCAAUGGGAUUGGUUCAAAGUUGGUAUAUGCAGAACUUUCUUGAAGUUUUAGAAUAGAAAAAUAAGGGCCAGGCAUGAUCCACAGGUCUUAGAUAACUUUCAAUAAGUACUGAUGAAAGCCAGAAAAAUGUGGUUUCUAUAGUGGUACAUGGAGUGAUUGAACAUAAGAAAAAUUAUGUGUUUGAGUCUUUUAUUAGCAGUACAGCCAGUAUCUUCCAGAAUGGUUUUGUCCCAACUCCAUUUCUUCCCACAUGCUUAUUAACUAGCAUGCACUUCUGUUUGAUGGUGACACUAUCCCUGCUCAUUCUAAACACAGAAGAAGUAUUGAUCUCACCUGUAAUGUGGCUGAUAUAGUGAACAAUGUAUAUGAAACAGCCAAGAGGCUGUGUGAAUAGUAUUAGCUGGUAGCUCCAGAGGUGGAAUUUGAAGAGUUCAAUGCCAAAGCUCCAGACAAACCUAUUCGAGUAGUUUAUGUGCCGAUACAUCUGUUAUACAUGCAAUUCAAGAACUCAACGAGAACAACAGUAGCACUCCAUGAAGACAGAAAAUAGAGAUACUUGGCUGUUAAAACCUUUGUUAUUUGGGUUAAAAAAAAAGAUUUCUUCAUUAAGUGACUGAGGUGGUGGUGUCUCACUUUGAAAAUGUAUCUUUUUUAAACUAUAUGUAUUCAAAUUCUAAUAGAUAUAGCUGUAGCCCAUAAGAGUUGUCCCUUUGGCUGGAUUCAGUUAAAAUUCACCAUUUUUUUUCAUCUGCAUGCCGUAUAUUUUUAAGGAGAUCUAAUACUAUGUGAUGGAAUGAAUGGGUAUUGGUGCUGUCUCUUAUUUAAAGGCUGUUUUAAGUGAAUCAUUUGAGAGACUUCCAGUUUUUAAGACCUCUACUUGGCACUAUUACAAAACUACACCUGAUGAUUGAUGUGAUACUAGCAGUAAACCCAGAGAUGCUUCAAAAUAUAAGACUAAACAG
rnacentral:lncRNA from 1 species